GUCAAAGUGACGUCCAACAAUGCCUUCUUGCACCCAGCACCUUGGAAUGAAAUGCUCCUUAACCUUGAACACUGAAGGUACCUCCCAACGUCACUUUGCUACCACCCAAUGCCAUAUCAAAAACCAAAAAUGAAUAAGAAGGAUCAAUUGACUCAAUUUUCUACCUAUACUCAUUUCUUUUAUUUCAAAAGUUAUAAACCAAACUUUAAUCGGUACCAAUCAAGACAAUUAUUCAAUUCAGAGUAUUCUCAUUCAAUUUCCAUGUCAAC
rnacentral:lncRNA from 1 species